rnacentral:misc_RNA from 1 species
GAAAUGCGAUAAGUAAUGUGAAUUGCAGAAUUCAGUGAAUCAUCGAAUCUUUGAACGCACAUUGCGCCCGCCAGUAUUCUGGCGGGCAUGCCUGUUCGAGCGUCAUUUCAACCAUCAAGCCCCCGGGCUUGUGUUGGGGACCUGCGACUGCCGCAGGCCCCGAAAACCAGUGGCGGGCUCGCUGUCACACCGGGCGUAGUAGAUUUUUCGUCUCGCCCAGGGCGUGCUGCGGGUUCCGGCCGUUAAAAAGCCUCUCUUUUAACCCAAGGUUGACCUCGGAUCAGGUAGGAAGACCCGCUGAACUUAAGC